rnacentral:misc_RNA from 1 species
AUUCAACAGCAAAAAACUUUAGAAUCCUUACUUCUACCACCAGACUAAUAUAUGCCCCAUGCUCCCUAAAACACUGAGCUAACUAAUAGGAUUAAGCAUUAAGUAGUUGCUGACGGACUGCUUUCCCUUUCUUCCCAACCAAAAGACCAAAGUCAAACAGACUUCAUGCUCAAGGUUCAACCUUUUCCUCGCACUUCUAAUUUGAA